UGAGUAAAUCAGGUGGUCGCGGGCAUAUCUUAGCAUAUGCCUGAGGAAAGUCCGAACUCCAUAGGGCAGGGUGCUGGAUAACAUCCAGUGGGGGCGACCCUAAGGAAAGUGCCACAGAAACAGACCGCCUAGCCUUUUGUCUGCAUUUGCAGUGGGGCUGGGUAAGGGUGGAAAGGUGAGGUAAGAGCUCACCAGCAGGUUAGGCGACUAACCUGGCUCGGUAAACCCCACCCGGAGCAAGGCCGAAUAGGGGAACAUAUGAAGUGGCCCGCUUCGUUCCCGGGUAGUGCCGCUUGAGGUGUCAGGCAACUGGCAUCCCAGAUAGAUGACCACCUAAACAGAAUUCGGCUUAUGAUUUGCUCAACAG
rnacentral:RNase_P_RNA from 3 species